rnacentral:lncRNA from 1 species
AACUCCAUGGUGACCUCCCUCGCCCUGGCCUCGUCCCAUAAAUAGCGCGCGCAGGACCUCUGGCGAGUCAGUGCAAGUUAGGAAAUCUAAGCAUUACAAUGAGGCAAAUCAUCUUCCUUUUCUUUGCGUUGGCUCUGGUCGUGCUGAUGGCGGAAUCGAAGCUUAUUAAUCCCGAGGAAGUCUUAACAAGACUGCGCAGAGACUGCUUUUGUGUCACCCUCCCCUGCCCCUGCCCCUUCUCGGACCCCUAUCGCGGACCCCAGAUCCUCACAUAGCCUGAGGUCCUCACAGCACCCUGGCCUAGAACCGAGCCAGCAAAUCAGUAGGUUUCUCACCACGACUGAAGAAGG